rnacentral:lncRNA from 1 species
CCUACUUCCAAGCAUAAAUAAGGAGCCUGACCUAGACUACAUUUGAAUUGUUCCAGGAUAAUGGGAGUCAUUAACCAGGGUUCACCUGCUCGGAUUGGACAAAAAGGCUCCUUUCUCUCUGGUUAGGAACUAAAAUUGUCUGCAUUCCUAUCUGCUGACAUUAAACAAAACAAAAAAUGGUGUACACAUUCAAAGAGAAGGAAAGAAGAGGGGAAAGUAGGUAAUGAG